GCCCUGGCUCUACCCAGGCCAGUGCCAGGAGGCCUGGUUCCGAUGCCCUGCUCGAAGCCAGCCAGUCCCUGAGGAGAGACAGUCAGUCAGCAGGCAGCACUUUCUGUGUCUUACGCAGCAGGUGACGGCAGGGAGUCUGACCCUGCUUUUACCAUGAAAACCAACAAUCUCAGCCAGGCAAGACCUGAAGACCAAGCUGGGACACAGGCCACAAAAGCCAUCUGAGUGACAGGGAUGGGGUGCAGGCCCAACCCAAGGGGAGCAGCCCAGACUGGCCCUGGCUGGUUAGGGCCAUGCUGGAUGGAUUCAGGCCCAAUAUUACCAGUUCUUCCUGUCAAAUCCAAACUAGGGGCAAAACAUUAUUUUACUUUUUCCGUAACCACUCACGAUCCAUCCCUAUUAGUUUUGGGGUGUUUUUUAAACCGUUAUUUUUGAAUAGGCAAUAGGUAACCACCAUCACCAGUUUCUUUUGUUUUCUUUCUGGGAUAAUCAAUGUAUAUGCAAUGCAAACGAGAGCACAUGUGCCUUGUUUGAUUCACUCAGUAUUACUGCAAUUCUUUCUAACAGCAAUGAAUUCAAACUUGUUUCCAGAUUAUAUGGGUCAGCUGGUACCUCUGGUUGGAGCUGUAGAGCAUAAGAAGUUGGCCUUUAGUCCUGAAGGAGAAAACUGAGGUCAAGGAGUGAAUGUGGAAGAUGUCCUAUGCACGAGCAGCAGAGGUGGAGGCUGACCUACGAGGCUGAAUGAACGAGUCUGUGAAGGAUUCUGCCAAGCAGCCAGAGGGAGGAGAACACGGAAGGCUUUUAAGGAGUGAGACCAACACUACUAGGACGCCCCACUGGACUCAGACGAGAUGAGGCUGGAGACACAGCCACUGGAUGAGCAGUCCUGGGCACAGGUAGCCCAGUAGGACUGAGAACCAGCCGGCGCCCACCUGUGCAGACCCAACUAACCAUCAGGCUGCCCGCAGACACAAGGAGGAUGGCUUCCCGCACGUCCACCUGCUUCAGCACUCCUCCAGAAGGAGCCGUCCUUGUCCUAACUAUGGAAAUGAAGGGAACAGAGACCUCCUGGCCCAGCAACAGAGUCUGGAAAGAGGACUGGUGACAAGGAUGGCACUUGGGCCCUUUGAGGGAGGCUGACUGAGAACCAGGGAAGAUGGUCCCAGGCGUUGGUGAGUGUCUUCUGCCUGGGAAAUGAGGCCCACAGGGCAGAGCUAAGUCUAGGGGGAGGAACGCUUCAACCCAGAGCAGCCUCGGGUGGACUGGAGGCUCUAACGCUCUAGAAGAGGGCUUCCCAACCCUGGCAUUACUGCCAUCUGGGCAGGCUGAGCCUUGGUUGUGGAGGCCGUCCUGCACAUUGGAGGGUGCUGAGCAGCAUCCCUGGCCUUUGUCCACUAGACACCAACAGAACCACUCCCCUUACCCCACUUGGAACAACUAAAGACACCUCCAGACAUUGUCAAUGUCCACUGGGGGACAAAACUGCGCCUAGAUGAAAGUGAAGGUUCUAGAGCCCAAGCCCCCUGGUUCGGUGCCAUCAAGCUCUCUCACCCUCUUCCUUUCAUCCUCACCCAAUCUUCUCACGUUCUUCUCCCGAGCCUCGCUGCCUCACCAUUCUAGGCCUCCCAGUCCUCUCCCAGAACAUGAGCCCGCUCGGUGAUGCCACACAGCAGAGCCACAAUGCCACUUCCAAGAACAGUUCCAACUGCUCAAGGAUGGAAGCACAGUCACGCACGCUGCCCAAGGCAACCUGAGGAUGCAUCACAUUCUCGGAUCCUCCCCGCCCCGACAUGUGAGUCAGGAUCCUGCGAGUGAGGUACAGGACACUGCAGGGAGAGAUCCAGCAAGCCCUGCCCCUCCUAUCCCUGCUCUGGAGCCAGGGGCAGUAGUGAGGCCCCUCCCCCAGACAAAUCCGGCCCCCUAUCACCUGCGAAUGUGUCCCCACCACCCCACUCCCACACCUAGUGCUACAGGUAGUGGAGUGAUCUAAGCAAUCUGGAGGCCAGACUUUAAUGCAAAUCAUACUACUCCAGUUAUUAAAUGUUUACAA
rnacentral:lncRNA from 10 species